UGAGGAAUAUUGGUCAAUGGGCGAGAGCCUGAACCAGCCAAAUCGCGUGAAGGAAGACUGCCUUAUGGGUUGUAAACUUCUUUUAUACAGGAAUAAAAAAGGGGACGUGUCCCUUAUUGCAUGUACUGUAUGAAUAAGCAUCGGCUAACUCCGUGCCAGCAGCCGCGGUAAUACGGAGGAUGCGAGCGUUAUCCGGAUUUAUUGGGUUUAAAGGGUGCGCAGGCGGGCUUUUAAGUCAGCGGUGAAAUCUCGGGGCUUAACUCCGAAACUGCCGUUGAAACUGGGAGUCUUGAGUAUGGAUGAAGUAGGCGGAAUUCGUUGUGUAGCGGUGACAUGCUUAGAUAUAACGAGGAACUCCGAUUGCGUAGGCAGCUUACUAAGCCAUAACUGACGCUCAAGCACGAAAGCGUGGGGAUCAAAACAGGAUUAGAUACCCCUGGUAGUCCACGCCGUAAACGAUGAUUACUAGUUGUAUGCGAUAUACCGUAUGUGACUAAGCGAAAGCGAUAAGUAAUCCACCUGGGGAGUACGCCGGCAACGGUGAAACUCAAAUGAAUUGACGGGGUCAUAGCUG
rnacentral:rRNA from 1 species